rnacentral:rRNA from 1 species
GGGGAAUUGUUCGCAAUGGGCGCAAGCCUGACGACGCAACGCCGCGUGGAGGACGAAGAUCUUCGGGUCGUAAACUCCUGUCGAGCGGGACGAAUGUUCCGCGGGCUAACAUCCCGUGGAAGUGACGGUACCGCUAAAGGAAGCCACGGCUAACUACGUGCCAGCAGCCGCGGUAAUACGUAGGUGGCAAGCGUUGUCCGGAUUUAUUGGGUUUGAAGGGUGCGUAGGUGGCCCUGUAAGUCAGUGGUGAAAUAUCUCAGCUUAACUGAGAGGGUGCCAUUGAUACUGCAGGGCUUGAGUACAGAUGAGGUAGGCGGAAUUGACGGUGUAGCGGUGAAAUGCAUAGAUAUCGUCAAGAACACCGAUAGCGAAGGCAGCUUACCAAGCUGUAACUGACACUGAGGCACGAAAGUGUGGGGAUCAAAC